AUAUCAUAAGCGGAGGAAAAGAAACUAACAAGGAUUCCCCUAGUAACUGCGAGUGAAGCGGGAAAAGCUCAAAUUUAAAAUCUGGCGGUCUCUGGCCGUCCGAGUUGUAGUCUAGAGAAUUGUUGCCCGCGCUGGACCGUGUACAAGUCUCCUGGAAUGGAGCGUCAUAGAGGGUGAGAAUCCCGUCUCUGACACGGACUACCAGGGCUUGUGGUACCUCGUCAA
rnacentral:rRNA from 1 species